AUGAAGAAGCAGUUCAACCGCAUGAAGCAGCUGGCUAACCAGACCGUAGGCAGAGCUGAGAAAACAGAAGUCCUCAGUGAAGAUCUAUUACAGAUUGAGAGACGCCUGGACACAGUACGGUCAAUAUGCCACCAUUCCCAUAAGCGCUUGGUGGCAUGUUUCCAGGGCCAGCAUGGCACCGAUGCCGAGAGGAGACACAAAAAACUGCCUCUGACAGCUCUCGCUCAAAAUAUGCAAGAAGCAUCGACUCAGCUGGAAGACUCUCUCCUGGGGAAGAUGCUGGAGACGUGUGGAGAUGCUGAGAAUCAGCUGGCUCUCGAGCUCUCCCAGCACGAAGUCUUUGUUGAGAAGGAGAUCGUGGACCCUCUGUACGGCAUAGCCGAGGUGGAGAUUCCCAACAUCCAGAAACAGAGGAAGCAGCUUGCAAGAUUGGUGUUAGACUGGGAUUCAGUCAGAGCCAGGUGGAACCAAGCUCACAAAUCCUCAGGAACCAACUUUCAGGGGCUUCCAUCAAAAAUAGAUACUCUAAAGGAAGAGAUGGAUGAAGCUGGAAAUAAAGUAGAACAGUGCAAGGAUCAACUUGCAGCAGACAUGUACAACUUUAUGGCCAAAGAAGGGGAAUAUGGCAAAUUCUUUGUUACGAUAAGUGGGCGGAAAAACCAGCCUUUGGGACUCCCCUAG
rnacentral:sRNA from 1 species